UACGGAGGGUGCGAGCGUUGUUCGGAAUCACUGGGCGUAAAGCGCGUGUAGGCGGCCUGCUAAGUCUGAUGUGAAAGCCCGAGGCUCACCCUCGGAAGUGCAUUGGAAACUGGCAGACUGGAGUCCCGGAGAGGAGGGUGGAAUUCCUGGUGUAGCGGUGAAAUGCGUAGAUAUCAGGAGGAACACCGGUGGCGAAGGCGGCCCUCUGGACGGUGACUGACGCUGAGACGCGAAAGCGUGGGGAG
rnacentral:rRNA from 1 species